rnacentral:rRNA from 1 species
UGGGGAAUUUUGGACAAUGGGCGAAAGCCUGAUCCAGCCAUGCCGCGUGUGUGAAGAAGGCCUUCGGGUUGUAAAGCUCUUUCAGACGGAAAGAAAACUUCUGGGCUAAUACCCUGGGAGGAUGACGGUACCGUCAGUAUAAGCACCGGCUAACUACGUGCCAGCAGCCGCGGUAAUACGAAGGGUGCGAGCGUUAAUCGGAAUUACUGGGCGUAAAGCGCGCGCAGGUGGUGAGGUAAGACAGAUGUGAAAUCCCCGGGCUCAACCUGGGAACUGCGUUUGAGACUGGAUCGCUCGAGUACGGCAGAGGGUGGUGGAAUUUCCCGUGUAGCGGUGAAAUGCGUAGAGAUACGUAGGAACACCGAUGGCGAAGGCAGCCUCCUGGGCCAGUACUGACACUCAGGCGCGAAAGCGUGGGGAGCAAACA